rnacentral:ncRNA from 1 species
GGUUGGGUGAAUUAUUAGUUCACUUUCAAGAGAUUGGACUUCUGGGGUGGGAAGCU